rnacentral:rRNA from 1 species
AAAGGCUGCGGUAUUUUGACCGUACAAAGGUAGCAUAAUCAUUAGUUUUUUAAUUGAAAACUUGUAUGAAGGGUUUAACGAAAUAUUGACUGUUUCAUAAAAAUUUUAAUAGAAAUUAAUUUUUUAGUCAAAAAGCUAAAAUGUAAUUAAAAGACGAGAAGACCCUAUAGAGUUUUAUAUUAAAAAUUUUAUAAUUAAUUUAUAAUAAUUAAAGUUUUAUUAUUGUUUAUAUUUUGUUGGGGUGACAGUAAAAUUUUUAUAUCUUUUAUUUUUUUUUAAACAAUGAUUUUUGAAUAAUUGAUCCACUUUUAGUGAUUAUAAGAUUAAAUUACCUUAGGGAUAACAGCG